rnacentral:tRNA from 51 species
GCCCCUGUAUCCCAAUUGGCAGAGGAAACGGAUUCAAAACCCGUGCAGUGUGAGUUCGAGUCUCACCAGGGGCACCA